rnacentral:rRNA from 1 species
UAGUUGGUGGGGUAAAAGCUCACCAAGGCGACGAUCUGUAGCGGGUCUGAGAGGAUGAUCCGCCACACUGGAACUGAGACACGGUCCAGACUCCUACGGGAGGCAGCAGUGGGGAAUUUUGGACAAUGGGGGCAACCCUGAUCCAGCCAUGCCGCGUGAGUGAAGAAGGCCUUCGGGUUGUAAAGCUCUUUCAGCCGGGAAGAAAACGCAUUGGUUAAUACCUGAUGUGGAUGACGGUACCGGAAUAAGAAGCACCGGCUAACUACGUGCCAGCAGCCGCGGUAAUACGUAGGGUGCGAGCGUUAAUCGGAAUUACUGGGCGUAAAGCGUGCGCAGGCGGUUUUGUAAGAUAGGCGUGAAAUCCCCGGGCUUAACCUGGGAACUGCGUUUAUGACUGCAAAGCUAGAGUACGGCAGAGGGGGGUGGAAUUCCACGUGUAGCAGUGAAAUGCGUAGAGAUGUGGAGGAACACCAAUGGCGAAGGCAGCCCCCUGGGUCGAUACUGACGCUCAUGCACGAAAGCGUGGGUAGCAAACAGGAUUAGAUACCCUGGUAGUCCACGCCCUAAACGAUGUCAACUAGGUGUUGGGAGGGUAAAACC